rnacentral:tRNA from 1 species
GAGUGUGUAGCUCAGUGGCAGAGCAUGUGCUUAGCAUGGGCGAGGUCCUGGGUUCAAUCCCCAGUACCUCCA